UACGUAGGGUGUGAGCGUUAAUCGGAAUUACUGGGCGUAAAGCGUGCGCAGGCGGUUCUCCAAGUCCGUUGUGAAAGCCCCGGGCUCAACCUGGGAAUGGCAGUGGAAACUAGGGGACUGGAAUCUGGCAGAGGGGGGUGGAAUGCCGCGUGUAGCAGUGAAAUGCGUAGAGAUGCGGAGGAACACCGAUGGCGAAGGCAGCCCCCUGGGCUGACACUGACGCUCAGGCACGAAAGCGUGGGGAGCAAACAGG
rnacentral:rRNA from 1 species